CGGACACCUGCUAGGGGAGAAAGCACAAAAAAAAACUCCCGGAAAGAAGCUGAAUUAGUCAUGUGCAUCAAUAAAAUGUGAAUUAUAACUAUAAAAAUACAUGGUUACAAUUUGGGUGGAGGUUAUACUAAAAAACAAAUCCGUUUAAAAGACUGGAAUCAAUAAACAGAAGGAUAAAACUAAUUAAUUUGAUAAUGGGGAGAUCAGAAUAAUGAAUGUAUACACAUCCAAUUUGAAUUUGACUCGCCUUAAACUGUGGCCUCAACCUACAUUUAGAGUGGUGGCCAUUUGUCCUUGGGAUUAAUAAACAACUUGUGUCAAAGGGCCACUGAUGCACCACUGGUUUGUUCUUUCCAUGUAGAAAGAGCAGGUUUUCCAAGCAGGCUUUUCUUUUGACAUUUAUUUUGCUAACAAGAAGAGCCAACAAACAUAACAUAAUUCCUAUGCCUGUCUUUUUACACUGCUUAAAACUAUGUUUAUUUAAUGAAAAGAUGGUACAGUUGGAAACUGAGAGUGCAUAGAAUAUGUAUGUUAAAAACAAUGUUAAUGCUAAACUUAAAAGUGUGAAAUGACAAUGUCAAAAAUCUAACUCAGUUCAUUCUGAGGGUCUUUUCCCUCUUAGUUGAAUGCACUUUAGAUAAAAACAUGAGCUAAAUGUGAUAGUCCCAAAGGAAAAAUGUAUGUGGCUUCAUCUGCUUGAAUAAUUUGUUUGUUUUAAUUAACUAUUUAAUAUAUUGAAUAUGUCAGUUUCAUAUUUGAGGCUCUAGAAUAUUGUGCCAAUGUGCCAGUAUUAUUUCAGAUGGGGAAAGUAUAGAGAGCAAUGCUAUUUUAUAUUCUGUUUUUGACAGAGUUCUUAAAACUUGGAGAAGGUUAUUGAGGUUAAAAUUGCUCCCGUUGUACUUAAGUUACAAAAUAUCUUUCUUGUGUCUAAUGCAGCCGACGGUGAGAUUUUGCAGGAGUUUAACUAUUUGAUUGGUUAUGCCUGUGCCGAUUACUCAAAAGACUAUUAGUCAAGUAUUAAGAGAUAAUGGAUGCCAGUUUGACCUGUCAGUAGUUCAAGAGAUAGCCAGAGCGAUCUGUGAGACAAACCUUGUUAGAAGCAAUUGGUGAAACAGGUCUACUUUCCAGUGCCUGGAGGAGAGAGGUUUACUUUGAUGUAGUGGAACCAGUAGGCAAGUCAAGGCAAGGCAAUUUUAUUUGUAUAGCACAUUUCAACACCAAGGCAAUUCAAAGUGCUUCACCAGUAGAAUAAAUACUCAAACCAAAAAGAUAGUAAGUAAUACAAAAAUAAGUAAUUCCAAAAUAUUUCAAUUUUAAAGCCUUUGCUGCUAAUUCAACAUUUUGUAAAUGUGCUCCUUUCCAUUUCCGAGAGACAUCAAUUUCAGAUUGCAAAUCAUUUACAUGCAUGUAGCUUUACGAGACCUCCAUUGGAAGUGGCAAACGUUUCAACUCUUCACAUUGAUGUUCUUAACAAGGAGAUCUCAAAUUCCGUGAAACAAAAGUCUUCAACCAUGGGCAUGAAAGCUUGGCCAAAAGUGUGGCGUACAAUGGACUAAACUACAGGUGUGUGAUGAUUUUGAUCCAUGGCUUACUCAGUGCACGGCCAGAGUUUGUUAAAAGCAUCUAAAUGGUGCUAUUGCAAAACAGCUUCAUCCUUGUUGUGAAGAAGCUCAGCCUGUACGAUUAUAAAUAAAUGAUUUGAAUAAUCGUUUUCAAUGUGUGGCGAGUGAGGAAAUGUCCUUCCUGAGCUACCGUAGGCUCAGGCAGUCUUUGGUACCUCCUACUUCCUGGUUCACCCAUUAGAACGGGUAUAAAAGCUGCACAUAAUGAAGCUGCUGUCACCACGCUUGUCCCUUUCUGUGUUUGAGGCUGGCUGGAGAAUCCAAUGAGCUGGGGGUGUUUGAGGCUGUCUGCAGAGUAGCAUCCCAGAUGACUGCUAUGGCUGGUUCCACACACACAGAAUCAAGAUGAACAUUGGAAAAAACAAACUUCCAAAUGGCUUGCCAAAGUCACUAGAUAUCUUUACUGCAAGAUGAAGACAACCUUUAGGUUAAAGGGCAGCCUCUCACUUCAAUACAUGGACCAAGAUUUUGGCAAUUACUUUUUAAUCUACACUCUACCACUGAAUUUCAGGGACAAGUAGCAGGCCAAACGGUUGGUUCAAUAUGCGUUGGGCAAGAAACCUGGUGGAGACCGUGGUGCCAUGAGCGCAAACAAAAGAGUCUUGUAGGACGCAAUUGCUGAUAAUGGGCGGUCGACCAACUGACAGAACCGUACAGGUCAAAGGAGGCUCAUAGAUCUUGGGGAGAAGAUGGGCGAGGCCUGGGCUCUUCAUUAAAGUAUUCUUUGUAUGUAUUUCUUGUCGUGCAGGCUGUGUAAUGGCUCUAAUAAAAUGUCUUUCUAACUGUAAAGAAUGCUUGAGUGUUGAGGCCUGUCCUGAAGAACUAUUUGGAUCCUUUAUCUGCUGUUUGCUGUUGGCCAAUGUGUUAGUAUUGCGAAAUAACGUUAGCCUGUGGGCAAGUAGAUGCCAUCCUGUCAGUGUUCCAGAGAUUUUUCAGAAUGGGUUGUGAUUCCAUGCAGGAUGGUCCAGAGAAGGCAGCAGGCUCCUGCCUUGAGGAUCCCAAGAAGUGGUCAAGCAGUUUCAGCCUCCUGUGACGGUGGAAAUAACCAGCAGUCUUUAGUGAUUUGAGUGAACGGACGGUCCACAGAAGACAACAGGGUCUCAUGUGAAAAUUGCCUGCUGACUGAGAGGACAAUUCGUAGAACAAAACAAGCUCCUGCUUCAGGGGCAAGCAGCUUUAGCCUCCUGUGGAAAUCGCCAAGUUGGCAAUUUCCAC